UUAACAAGGUUUGUGUUUCAAUCUUUCAGCAGUCUGCUGACUCUGAGCAGAACAUUACCUACAGCACUGUGAGUCACAUCAGAGGAUCAACACAACAGGGCCUAAACCCUGAGAGCCACGGUGACUUGUACAGCACUGUGAUUCCUAAGCAGCACAGGACAGCACAAAGGGCAGCAGAACCAGGUGAUGUGGUCUACAGCACAAUGGCCCAACACCAGAGAUAGCAGGAGGCAACAGAACAACAGAGACUGAGUGUAGUCCCUCCAAAUUACAAAUAGGCCUUGUUCCAUUUUACUCCCUAGCUCUUACCUCUUUGGGGGCUACUGAUCUGGAAGGACUGAAUAAGACUAAUGCCUGUCUAUCACAGUCUUGUUCUUUUCCAUUGUGAAGGCUCUGCUGGCUUAAUUAUGCCAGUGAUUGUGUAUUCUAGACAAAGGCAGAUUAAUUGAGUGUAAUUUUUGAUUUUCUGAAGUUUAAUGUACACACUGAUCAUGUGUAUUUCAAUGCUUCAUAUCUGAAAUAAACUACUUUAACAAGAAACUUA